rnacentral:SRP_RNA from 1 species
UCGGGCUAGGCGGGGAGCUAGCGGUGCCCUCCACCUCAAAUCCGCUUAUGGAGGGCUGAAUUCCCUACCUAGGGCAGGUUGCCCUGAAGACCACCGGCUUGAGAAUUGAUCGGAACCAGCGCAACAAACAGUUACGAACCCCGUCAGAUCCGGAAGGAAGCAGCGGUAAGUAAUGUCGUUCGUGUCGCAGGCACCUCUGAUCUUUAGUUCCCGAGCUAGGAGUUGAAUGGUGUCGGCAGGUUCGAAGUGGGGUGCCCGG